GGGGUGGUGGCGCAGUUGGCUAGCGCGUAGGUCUCAUAUCCUGAGGUCGAGAGUUCGAACCUCUCUCGCCCCA